AAAGGCCUUGACACUGUGCACACACUGUUCAGCCAUAGCUAAAACAUCAGUGUGUUGCCGAUGCUCUUUUGCUCACAAAUCCAAAACAGGGCACCGUACAAGCUGCUAUGAAGAAAAUUAACUCUGUCCCAUCCAAAACCAGUAUCCCAUGCUCAGCGCUGUCCCUAACUGCACACUCAGUGAGGUCCCCAUCUCUGUGCUUGGUGCCACCCCUGUCACGCGCUUGCAAUGUCCACAAGCGCCAAACUUUGCAAGGUCCCCUGCCCUUUGCUCAGUACAUCCUAGUCCCCACUCUGUACUGUCCACAUCCCCGUGCAGUUGGCCCCGUUCCCGUUCCCGUGCUCGGCACUUUAGGCCUGCCUGCGAUCACCAAGGUCCCUGCCAGCACGUGCAAGGCUGCCUUGCACAGAAGCCCAGAAUGGUUGAGGUUGGAGGGUGUGGCGGUGUGCUCCCCCCACACCUGAAGCCACAGCCACCAGUGGGGGUCACGAUGGCUGCAUCCAGCUUUCGCUGGACUUUGGGGGACGGAUGGCAACACGGCAGCCGGGGGCUGUCUGGAACAGUGACCCAGGGGUCUUGCUGGCACGCAAAUACGACUAGCAGUCAAUCAUCUUACUCGAUAAAUAGUGGACAGCCCCUCGCCCACUGAGCUCUCCUGCACGGCCGUGGGCUGCACGCCAGGAUCUCCCCUUGAGUAUUAGGUUACUCCUUGAGGUGGAGAGAUUCCUUGCCACAGCAGAUCCUCAGUAAGCGAUCAAUUGCACGCUAAACUUUGAAAUCUCAGCUAAGUGAUAUAAAGGAUUGAUUGCGCGUAUAUAAUCCUUUAGGCAUAUACUGUUGAUCAAGACUUGCACUAGGACUGGAUCCAGCCGCACCUAGACUCAGAGCUCUAACUAAGAAGGAGUUUAGAAAGCAAGGAGGUCCUUUCUGAACCUCAUGACUCAACAGGAGGGUCUCCCUGGCAGUUUUGUCUCGCCCUGUCCUCUCUGCAGUAAAUAAUCAAGCGUACUUUGCCAUCGAAUCUUGUUAAACCACUAACCAUUGUCACGUUCGCUACCAUACUUUGUUAAAUCCCUGGUUUAUAUCACUAAACAUAUUGCUGCUGCUCUCUCGCCAGUGAAGCGCAUGACUCCACCUGCAACAGAGGAGCCCAUCUAGUCCAAGCACCUGCUGAAGCAGGGUCCCCUGGAGCAGGCUGCUCAGGCCCUUAUCCCGCUGGCUUGGGCCUGUCUCCAAGGCUGGAAACUCCACAGCCUCUCUGGGCGACCGGUGCCAGCACUGCAGCCCCGUACGGGUGCAAAAGCAGCCACCCCCCUGACUCGGGUGCCGAGGUGGCCGUGUCACAGGGGGCGGCAGGUAGCCGAGGGCACCCCUGCCCAUACUGGGGGCACACACAGACGAGUGCUGGUGAUGUCACAGUGGCCACUGUGACCCGUCGCCAAGGCCUGGAUAAAGGGCUGCUGGGCUCUGGCCUUGCGACCUGGCGAGGUGAGGAGAGGGCAGGGGAAGAAGGGGCUUGCCCAGGGCUGCCGAGGGAGGAGGGGAGCCGCACUCCUUGGGGCUCCGGGGCCUGCGAUACAAGCUCACCGUGUCCCACUGCUCUCUAAGGGUUGGCAGAGGAGUGUGCAGAGGAGAAACCCCGGCACUGCUGCGGCAGAGCCUCUCCAAGCACUUGCUGUCCAUGUGCACCGCGUUCGCGAUGAAGCAGCAGGACCCCGACUCGAGGGAGCAAGCAUGCAUGCUGUGUCGCCGGGCAGAGGCUGACCCGGAUAUCUGUGGGUGCAAAAGCGCAAAGAAGGGGCUCUGUGCCCACACCUAUUGCCUGUUCCUUGCCAGCGGGCUUUUUCCACAAGAGAGCAGGAACGGGUUUCUCACUGAGGACACCAGACGCGCAAUCCAGGAGGCAGCCCAGAAGGUGAGCAUCUGGCAAGAGCCGGGAGGCUUGUAGCAGGAGAGGCUUGCGGGAGCUCCACCUGGAGCCCCGGAAAGAAAUCCCAGCCCUUCCACCAGCUCUGGGACA